GUGAGGCAGACACGCAGCGGGCUGCAAACUUCCCUCUUUUCCUUUUUAGCCAAGAGCGAAACACAAGCAGCCCAGAAACUCUCUCCCUUCCCCUGACCCUGCCAAUCUGAGUCUGAGGGGAACCCUGCAGCCCUGUGGCCCAUAACCCAGGGCACCCAUGCCCGCCGAGUCCUGAGACCAGACAGUGCCCCGCUGCCUGCCCUCCUCCCCCACUUCUCUCAAAUUCCUGAAGCAGAAAAAAGUCUGCCUGAGCAGCGGGGCUGAAAUCCCCAACUCUGUCACUUAGCCGGCGCGGUCCCCUACCGUAGGAGUCGUCUUGGUCCAGGAGGGAGUCGGGCUCCAUGGCGUGUGGGCCCCCAGCCCCUGGCCCCACCUAAUUUAUGAACCGAGGCUGUCUCCAUGAGCGUCUGGGUUUCUCCUUUUGUAUUCCAUCUGGCGGCUUUUCCAACUAGAUGACAGGCCUGGCUGGGAACAUUAGAAGGGACCGAGGCGGCGAGAUGUCUAAAAUAGGAAGACGCCGGGGAUGCUUGGCCUGGCUGCCCGCGAUGCUGGCUGCAGGGAUCUGGCCGGGCUGUGCAGAUGGAAAAGCUAAGAGCUGCCAUGAUAGAAACAGCUUCCCUCCACCAUGCCAUUAUGUUUCUCUCUCAUCUCAGGCCUAAAAGUCGUGGAAUCAGCUGACCAUGGACUGAAACCUCUGAAACCAUGAGCCAAAAUAAAUGUUUUCUACUUUAA